rnacentral:rRNA from 1 species
UACGUAGGGUGCGAGCGUUGUCCGGAAUUAUUGGGCGUAAAGGGCUCGUAGGCGGUUUGUCGCGUCGGGAGUGAAAACCUUGGGCUUAACUCAGGGCUUGCUUUCGAUACGGGCAGACUAGAGGUAUGCAGGGGAGAACGAAUUCCUGGUGUAGCGGUGAAAUGCGCAGAUAUCAGGAGGAACACCGGUGGCGAAGGCGGUUCUCUGGGCAUGAUCUGACGCUGAGGAGCGAAAGUGUGGGGAGCGAACAGG